UACGAAGGGGGCUAGCGUUGCUCGGAAUCACUGGGCGUAAAGGGUGCGUAGGCGGGUCUUUAAGUCAGGGGUGAAAUCCUGGAGCUCAACUCCAGAACUGCCUUUGAUACUGAGGAUCUUGAGUUCGGGAGAGGUGAGUGGAACUGCGAGUGUAGAGGUGAAAUUCGUAGAUAUUCGCAAGAACACCAGUGGCGAAGGCGGCUCACUGGCCCGAUACUGACGCUGAGGCACGAAGGUCAGGGGAGCAAACGGGG
rnacentral:rRNA from 1 species